rnacentral:rRNA from 1 species
GAUGAACGCUGGCGGCGUGCCUAAUACAUGCAAGUCGAGCGAACAGACGAGGAGCUUGCUCCUCUGACGUUAGCGGCGGACGGGCGAGUAACACGUGGAUAACCUACCUAUAAGACUGGGAUAACUUCGGGAAACCGGAGCUAAUACCGGAUAAUAUAUUGAACCGUAUGGUUCAAUAGUGAAAGACGGUUUUGCUGUCACUUAUAGAUGGAUCCGCGCCGCAUUAGCUAGUUGGUAAGGUAACGGCUUACCAAGGCAACGAUGCGUAGCCGACCUGAGAGGGUGAUCGGCCACACUGGAACUGAGACACGGUCCAGACUCCUACGGGAGGCAGCAGUAGGGAAUCUUCCGCAAUGGGCGAAAGCCUGACGGAGCAACGCCGCGUGAGUGAUGAAGGUCUUCGGAUCGUAAAACUCUGUUAUUAGGGAAGAACAAAUGUGUAAGUAACUAUGCACGUCUUGACGGUACCUAAUCAGAAAGCCACGGCUAACUACGUG